CCUACGCGUGGCAGCAGUAGGGAAUCUUCCACAAUGGGCGAAAGCCUGAUGGAGCAACGCCGCGUGGGUGAAGAAGGUCUUCGGAUCGUAAAACCCUGUUGGUAGAGAAGAAAGUGCGUGAGAGGAACUGUUCACGUUUCGAAGGGAUCUAACCAGAAAGACACGGCUAACGACGUGGCAGCAGCCGCGGUAAUAAGUAGGUGGCAAGAGUUAUCCGGAGUUAUUGGGCGUAAAGGGAACGCAGGCGGUCUUUUAAGUCUGAUGUGAAAGACUUCGGCAUAACCGGAGUAGUGCAUUGGCAACUGGGCGACUUGAGUGCAGAAGAGGAGAGUGGAACUCCAUGUUUAGCGGUUAAAUGCGUAGAUAUAUGGAAGAACACCAGUGGCGAAAGCGGCUCUCUGGUCUGUAACUGACGCUGAGGUUCGAAAGCGUGGGUAGCAAACAGGAUUAGAUACCCCUGUAGUC
rnacentral:rRNA from 1 species